AAACGACGGCGACGGCGAUUUCUGUGAGGUCGAAACCGAACCUUCUAUGUCUUUUCCGGCGGUCUGGUUCUUCUGUGCUUCUUCCGUCCUUCUUAUCGGCGUGUUCUGCGUCUCUGCAAGCAGUCGUUCGGUGGUGGUUUCGUCGAAGGAUUUCAGAACUGACGCGUCGAAGAGUUUUCCGGUGAGAUUAAUAAAUUUUGUAACAAAAAUUAUACUUAUAUGUGGUAGAUUAACAUAUGUUUUGUAAUAGAUUUAUUUGUCGCUUAUGGUAGAGUUAUUACUUAUGUCUAGUAGAUUUGUUAUUAUAGAUAUGUUCGAUGAAUUAGUAGAAAGAACUAUAUGGUAGACUUAUUUUCUUUACGUAUGAUAGAGUUGUAUAAUAACUUUAUAUACGACUUCCCCGAUAUUGUCUCCCUUUGCUGAAACAACUUUCGUCGAGAAUUUGCGUUAACGAUAAAACCGGCAAGUACGUCUUCUCAUUUGUAGUUCGUCGAUUCGUUUUCUCGACGUUGCUAAACUCCUCUUCCGCUCCGUCGACUCCUCCUCACUCAUCCGGGACAAUGCCGAUAAGUUACAGUGAUCGUUCAUCUGAAGGAACUGAAAUGAUUUUUAGGGGACUGGAUCACAUAUGUGGAAAUGGUGGGAUGAUGCUAUUACGGAGGAAUUCAACCGCGUGAAGAGAAACUUUGACAAGCAUAACGAGAAGCUGCAAAUGCUUUCAGGACUCCAAACUUUGACUGUGUUUGCUGCCAUUUCAUAUCUCUUCAGUAGAGAGAUGAACUGAUAACUAUUUGUAUCAUGAUAGACUUUUUAUUCUUUUAAGUGGACUUCUUAUCUUCUUAUGUAUGGUACACUUGUUCUU